GAUGAACGCUGGCGGCGUGCCUAAUACAUGCAAGUCGAGCGAACGGACGAGAAGCUUGCUUCUCUGAUGUUAGCGGCGGACGGGUGAGCAACACGUGGAUAACCUACCUAUAAGACUGGGAUAACUUCGGGAAACCGGAGCUAAUACCGGAUAAUAUUUUGAACCGCAUGGUUCAAAAGUGAAAGACGGUCUUGCUGUCACUUAUAGAUGGAUCCGCGCUGCAUUAGCUAGUUGGUAAGGUAACGGCUUACCAAGGCAACGAUGCAUAGCCGACCUGAGAGGGUGAUCGGCCACACUGGAACUGAGACACGGUCCAGACUCCUACGGGAGGCAGCAGUAGGGAAUCUUCCGCAAUGGGCGAAAGCCUGACGGAGCAGCGCCGCGUGAGUGAUGAAGGUCUUCGGAUCGUAAAACUCUGUUAUUAGGGAAGAACAUAUGUGUAAGUAACUGUGCACAUCUUGACGGUACCUAAUCAGAAAGCCACGGCUAACUACGUG
rnacentral:rRNA from 1 species